rnacentral:rRNA from 1 species
CCUACGGGUGGCAGCAGUGGGGGAUAUUGGUCAAUGGGGGAAACCCUGAACCAGCGACGCCGCGUGAGGGAAGACGUAUUUCGGAUUGUAAACUUCUGUCAGCUGGGAAGAUAAUGACGGUAGCAGAGGAGGAAGCUCCGGCUAACUACGUGCCAGCAGCCGCGGUAAUACGUAGGGGGCAAGCGUUGUCCGGAUUUACUGGGUGUAAAGGGUGCGUAGGCGGCCUUGCAAGUCAGAAGUGAAAGCCAUGGGCUUAACCCGUGGACUGCUUUUGAAACUGUUGGACUAGAGUGAAGGAGAGGCAGGUGGAAUUCCUGGUGUAGCGGUGAAAUGCGUAGAGAUCGGGAGGAACACCAGUGGCGAAGGCGGCCUGCUGGGCUGUAAAUGACGCUGAAGCACGAAAGCGUGGGGAGCAAACAGGAUUAGAUACCCGAGUAGUC